rnacentral:rRNA from 1 species
GACGAACGCUGGCGGCGUGCCUAAUACAUGCAAGUAGAACGCUGAAGAGAGGAGCUUCCUCUUCUUGGAUGAGUUGCGAACGGGUGAGUAACGCGUAGGUAACCUGCAUUGUAGCGGGGGAUAACUAUUGGAAACGAUAGCUAAUACCGCAUAACAAUGGAUGACACAUGUCAUUUAUUUGAAAGGGGCAAUUGCUCCACUACAAGAUGGACCUGCGUUGUAUUAGCUAGUAGGUGAGGUAAUGGCUCACCUAGGCGACGAUACAUAGCCGACCUGAGAGGGUGAUCGGCCACACUGGGACUGAGACCCGGCCCAGACUGCUACGGGAGGCAGCAGUAGGGAAUCUUCGGCAAUGGGGGCAACCCUGACCGAGCAACGCCGCGUGAGUGAAGAAGGUUUUCGGAUCGUAAAGCUCUGUUGUAAGUCAAGAACGGGUGUGAGAGUGGAAAGUUCACACUGUGACGGUAGCUUACCAGAAAGGGACGGCUAACUACGUG